UCCAAAAGUAAUUGAUGUUUAAGACUAGAAUUAGGCAGGGGCUGCGCCGAAAGUAAUUGAUGUUUAAGACUAGAAUUAGGCAGGGGCCGCGACUUGCGCAGCCCCCUCUACCACAAAUUUUGACGCAGGCUCUCCCUCUUGGGGAGACCUUAGGCCAGCACCCCUCCGGCGUGCAAUGGAGGUCACUGACCUAGACCAUAGGUCUUCUUGAUCACCCAUUGAUCCCGUCCAGAUAUUUCAGAAAGAAACAGAGGGCAAGGGCAUGAUCAAGAAAGAUGUUACCGAAGAUAAUCAGCUGCUGCUCACUUGUACUGUUCAUGUCAUCUUGGUCUCAAAUAACAGUAGUAUGCGCCAACCUUUUUUCUUGCAGGCCUCUGAUGUUGAUUGGCCAUACCCCGACGGUGUAUCUCAACAACUGUCAACUGUUGUGUUGACGCCAAGCUAGAAACAAUGAAUCCUUGCUCUAGUGUUAAUAAAGACAUGCAUAGAACAUGUUGGCUUUAAAUUUCUUAAUGAUGCAAGAUUGCGUAAAAUGAUCUCGAUGCCGCAGAGAAGGGCUUGAUUACUCAAGGAAAGAUCAGAAAAAAAAAUUUAUAUCCAAGAAGUUUGUUGGUUUUGUCAUGGAUAUUGUCAUAUGAAUAGUCCUCAUAUGAUAUGGUUACCUUAAAAUUUAUAACCAAGAAUCAGUCUUGGUUCUGGUUAUGUUUGAUGUAAAUUGGCUGCGCGUCCUCAUUGAGGCUGCAACGGGUAAUACUCAACGGAAUUAGCUCUACAUGACAGAGAUCCUGCCAAGGGCCAUGAAGCUGGCAUGGUGAGAUUAGCUUUAUAACCCUUUGCUCUACUUCACAGAUCCUGCCAAGGGCCAUCUUUGAUAAAUCUGAGGACAUACCAAGUAGAACACCAUACGGCUACAUAUAUGCUUCGGCAAUCUGACAACCCUUCAAAUCCAUAGCUCUUGUUGUGUCGUUUGCUUUAUUUGGAUUGGUGGUUGGAAGGCCUUCCAGUUCAUGUUAGCUGGUUCUAGAAUAAGUGCAAUAAUAUUAUGUAAAAUUUAUAGAAAAGUCGGCAUAUUAUGUAGAAUCAGUAGAAGUGCUGAAGUGAAAUGAGGAAAACCUGGCGAGUUAUGGAUUUU